rnacentral:rRNA from 1 species
UACGUAGGUGACCAGCGUUGUCCGGAUUUACUGGGCGUAAAGAGCGCGCAGGCGGUCGGUCAAGUCGAGUGUGAAAGCCCCCGGCUCAACUGGGGAGGGUCAUUCGAUACUGAUCGACUCGAAGGCAGGAGAGGGUAGUGGAAUUCCCGGUGUAGUGGUGAAAUGCGUAGAUAUCGGGAGGAACACCAGUGGCGAAGGCGACUACCUGGCCUGUUCUUGACGCUGAGGCGCGAAAGCUAGGGGAGCAAACGGGG